UCAGAUUAAAGUUUGGUUGGCCCAAUCGGACUGGCCCGUUGCUUGAAGAGAUUGAAGGUUCAUCUAUAAAUAUGGAAACAUGAUCUUAAAAGAUAUGAUUUUAUAAUCUUAGAGAUCUUAGAUAUGAUAUGAUAUUAUAUUAUAGUCUUAGAGAUCUUAGAUAUGAUAUGAAAUCUUAUAAGAUAUUAUUUUAUAUUCUUAGAAAUCUUAGAUAUGAUACGUAAUCUUAGAAGAUAUGAUUUUAUAUUCUUAGAGAUUUGAUUUGUAGAUACCCUUUAAUCAUAGCCAUUGAUGUACUUGAUUUGUAUCGUUAGAUUUGGAGAGGCUUAACUAUAAAUAGAGGCCUCUCCCCUCAUUUGUAGGGGACUCCAUUCAUUGUUUCAUUAUUUCUUGUGAAUAAGAGAAUAGAGAGCAUUUACUCAAACACUUUGCGAACGUCUCUUUCUAUUGUUCUUUUAAGCUUCUUUUGGUAUAAGUUUGCUUCCGCUGUACGAGUUGGUACCUUGGAGGAGUUCUUAAGGAACCCUCAUUCGAGUAAAGGCUGACUUGGGCGAGUUUGGACGAGUAAAUCUCCUAAGGCCGCACGGAUUGCGAGACUAAAGGUCUAGCCCCGUGACAAGUGGUACCAGAGCUGUUGGUUCGAAGGCACUGUUGGGAUGUCGAAAGAAGAAUUCGAACAAAUAUGGGCGAGAAAGUCUUUGAGGGAGAUGUUGUCGGCAGUAGAGGUACGCGUGGGUAAACUUGAGGAGUCCAUGGAGGACGUUAAAGAGUCUGACAAUGCUCGUGGGGAAAGCAUUAAAGACAUGAAGGAACAGUUUAGGGACUUUGUGACCACGUGUCUAACUUCCCAAAGGGAUAACGUGCAAGAGUUGCUAGAUUCCCAAAGGAAGAAGCUGACAGAGAGGAACAAUACUCUCGAAGCCAUGGUGAAGGCUUUGAAGGAGGAAACAAUGGCCACAACGCUAGCUUUAAACACAAGAAUAAAGGAGCUCGAGGGAGAGCUGGCCUUGUGUCGAGCAGCAGUGGGGGAAGGAGUGUCAAGUGCAGCACUCAGUAGCGAGUAUGUCCCGAAGCUGAAAGACUUUGUGGGGACAAGGUCUACAUGUGAUGUGGACAAUUUCUUGUGGAGGAUGGAAAACUACUUCCGUGCCAAAGGUAUCGUGGAUGAUGCGGGUAAGGUACAAACUACUUCAUUAUUUCUUACUGAUAUUGCGCUUUUAUGGUGGCGAGGUAGGACCACAGAUAAAAGGCAAGGUGAGAUUGGAACAUGAGAGAAGUUCCAAUGUGAGUUGAAGGGAUAGUUUUACCCGGAGUUUGCCGAGGAAGAAGCUCGGGCAAAGUUGCAAGGGAUAACGCAACGGGGCACAGUGGGGGAGUAUGUUCGUGAGUUCAAGGAACUCAUGCUCCAAGUUUCAGAUGUGACCGAGAGAGAAGUAAUGCUUGCUUUUCUAGAGGGAUUGAAGCCGUGGGUCAGACAGGAGGUGGAACAAAGAGGUGUCCAAAAGCUGUCGGAAGCCAUGAAGGUAGAGGUAUCCAUGGUUAAGCUUGGUCUAGGGAAAGACAAGCUUGGAUCUUCCAAGUCCGAGGGAAGGGGCGUAUGUGAAGGGAAUCACAAGGAAGAUACGAAUGAGUAUGGCAAUGGCAACGGCAACAAUGGCGGUAAUAGGAAACCACGAGUUGGGAAGAAGAAACCCAAGAGGAAAAGGGACAAGCUGAAAUGCUUUCUCUGCGAUGAUCCACACAUGUUAAAGAAGUGUCCAAUAAAAUCCACGCUUAGGAAGAAGCCGGUGAGUAAGGCCUUGGGACUUGGCUCGAGCGCAAGGGGUGUCGAAGCCAAGGAGGCCGAAAGCGAGAAGAAGCCAGUCGAGUGCUUCUUAUGUCAUGGUCCGCAUAAGUUGUGGAAGUGUCCGAGGAAGUCUGUUAUCGAUGGGAAUGAUCGAGCAGAUAUGGAGCCCAGGAAGCUUGGUUCGAGCAAAAGAAAAGCCGAAGCCAAGAGGGCAAAGAGGAGUUUGUCUGUCAUCGAAUGGAACGAUGGAUCAGACAAGGAGCCCAAGAAGCUUGGUUCGAGCAAGGGUAAAGCCGAAGCCAAGAGGGCUAAAAGGAGCAAAAAGAAGCGAGUAAAGUGCUUCUUGUGCCGUGGUCCGCAUGAGUUGCGGAACUGUCCAAAGCAAGCCGUAGUCAAAGGAAAGGCAACGUCCGAGCAUAGUGAGUCGUCGGAGAGGCUUUCACCUAGGGGAGAGGUGAGUUUGUCAUCAAACUUAGAGGAAGAAGUUGCGAUGAAAACAGUGAAGCUGGGACCAAUGAGGCUCGAAUCGAGUGAAGCGUCGGAGUUGGCCGAGUCAUCGACAAGGCUUCCACCUAUGAGAGAGGUGGGUGGUGCAUCAGACUUCAAGGAAAAAGAAGUGAUGCAUGUGGGACAGUUGACCCGAGUAAAUGCAAAGGUACAUUCGAAACACUCUGAUAGUGUUUUGCAUUCUAACUUGUGUACUUGGCGAGAACGUAGGGGCCCUUACAAAGUCCUUGAACAAGAUGGCCGAGAGACUGUGGGUAAAGCGAAGCCAAGUGUUGUGAAUCAUGAGGAUUCUGUUCGAGGGAAGCUAGAAUGUGGGCAAGGGAGUGACAUAACUCCUUGUCGUCGAGAUGUACAAACGAGUAGGAUAGCUCGAGUUAAGAAACGACGGAAGCCGAGGCAAAAGUCCCGAAGGAAGGGAAGAGCUAAGGCAAUGAGUGGGAUCCAAGACGAAUCAAGUCAGUGCCAUUCAGGAGUCGCAACGAGGACGUUGCGAGAAUGGGUGGGGAAGAAUGUCACGGGCCAGAGUUCAAAGCCCGUGACCAUCGAGCCAAAUGCAUCCGAUGGAGGUCUAUUACUCAGAUGGGGAUCAUUUGGCCCACGUGAGCUGGCCCGAUUCAAGGAACUGUUGGAGAAGCCUGUCAGAUUAAAGUCUGGUUGGCCCAAUCGGACUGGCCCGUUGCUUGAAGAGAUUGAAGGUCCAUUUACAAAUAUGGAAAUAUGAUCUUAAAAGAUAUGAUUUUAUAAUCUUAGAGAUCUUAGAUAUGAUAUGGAAUCUUAUAAGAUAUUAUAUUAUAAUCUUAGAGAUCUUAGAUAUGAUAUGAUAUUAUAUUAUAAUCUUAAAGAUCUUAGAUAUGAUAUGAAAUCUUAUAAGAUAUUAUUUUAUAUUCUUAGAGAUCUUAGAUAUGAUAUGUAAUCUUAGAAGAUAUGAUUUUAUAUUCUUAGAGAUUUGAUUUGUAGAUACCCUUUAAUCAUAGCCAUUGAUGUACUUGAUUUGUACCGUUGGAUUUGGAGAGGCUCAACUAUAAAUAGAGGCCUCUCCCCUCAUUUGUAG
rnacentral:lncRNA from 1 species